CAAAUCUUGCAUAAGUUUUCUCAACUUAAAGAUGAAGUUCUUCAGAGUACACAAGAUGAUGAGUUAUUCAUAUCAACAAAGGAAAUGUUCUUUGCUUGUGAAAACUUUUUUUAUGCGAAGAUAGCUUUUUGGAAGAUGCAAAAUUUGCUUCAAUUUUAUUUGGAUAAAAUGAAGGCUUUGCUGCAUUCUAACAGUCCAAAUGCAGAUAAUCGAAUGGAUGAACUUGAUCUUUUAAUUUUGAUUGGAGAUUUAAUGGCAGCAGCAUUUCAAGGUUCAGAGACACUCACAAGUCGCAAUACAUUUCUUAA
rnacentral:lncRNA from 1 species